AUCAAACAAUUGCUAUCUUUAUUCUUCACUUGAAAAGUAUUUUUAGAUUAUAUAUUUUAAGGGUCAAAGAUGACAACUCAUGGCGUCAACAUAAUGAUGGAAGGACCAUCCAAAAAUUUUCUCCGUCAACAAACCCCCUUUUUUUAGUGAAUGUUUUAAGUUAAAUCUAACAAUAUAAAUUCUGAGUUGCCGACAAAGAUUUAAAUCCUCAAAGGCCGGCCAAAGUUUAAGAACUCCACCUUCAAGGCCAAAGGAGAUAAAUUUUGACAUUGUAUGGAGAUCAAAGAAGUGGGCGCUGGGGUUUCUCACGAGGAAGGCAAGGAGAUUGUUCGAGAGCUGCUUAUUGGGAUCUCUCAUGUUGUGCCAGAUAAGGUUUUCGAUUCGAAGCAUGAACUGGGAAAUUUUCACCAUGUAAAUGGGAUUGCUGUGGCCAGUGGUAGUGGAACCGAUGAGUAUAGAUCUGAACUGAUCUCUAUUUCUUAUGCUGACUCUCCGAUUUCGCCAAUUACCUUGGAAAACCAGAAGGGCUAGCUAGAAGAAGUUUUCUGUGAAGACGACUUGUAGCUGAUUCAUAUGGUGUUGUGUAUUUUGGAACUUCUGAAUGUUUGUUGAUUUCGACAUAAGCAGAGAAGUGCAACUCAAUUAUGUGUAGUAUUGAUGUAUGUAAACAAAGCCCUUUUUCUUUCUGGAGACAUAUUUUUCUUCA